GCGGGAGUAGCUCAGUUGGUAGAGCGGCAGCCUUCCAAGUCUCACUUUGUCGAGCACUGUGCUCUGAACUCAGUGGUCCCGCA
rnacentral:tRNA from 1 species